ACAAGUCUUAUAAACAGAGUAAGCCAAUGUGAUGAUGAAAAUGCUCUCUCUCUCUCUCUCUCUCUCUCUCUCUCUCUCUCUCUCUCUCUUUCCCAGUGUGAAGGGUUGAAGGGGGAGCUUGCGGAACUUCAGGGGCUGUUUGACUGCAGCCAGAAGGAGAGGGCGGAGCUGGAGCAGGAACUGCAUCACUGCAGGGUGGAGCUAGAGAGGCUGGGCGGCAGGAAGUCACAGGAGAGCGAGGGAGGCUGGAACCUGGUGGCGGUGGUUGCCGUGGCAGCGCUUGUAGUCCUGAUAGUCCCCAGCCUUUCCAGAGCGUUUACCUGAGGACUACACAGAACGGAAGUCACUGUACAGGAAAUGACUGUGCUGGUUUCCCCUGGCAACAUGGGCAAUGCCAUGCCCCUAUCUCAUGAUGCCCUUGUCAAGUCUCCUCCUCGCUUCAUCUUCCAAGGAGGACUGCAUUGACAACUGACAUUUUCACCAGGAAAUACAACACAACAAGGAAGUAGUCUCAAGGAGAAAUACAUAUACCUGUUUAAGCCACUCUAAAGAUAAGGAUGGCAAUAUCUUGUUUCUCUCUUUAAAGUCCUUCAGUUUGACUCAAUCGGUUUCCCUAUAACAGGGACUGCCUCCGAGUUUGUGGCAGUACGGUGUCUGCAUGGGCGUCAAUGGAAAUACACAAUUUAGCACAGAACAUGUCUGCGCAUUUAUUGAUUGAUCGGUUGAUGGUUUAUUCUUUGAUUGGUUGAUGGUUGAUUGAUUUAUUGACAACCUGUAAAGGUUGAAUUGGGAAAAGCUCAUGCACAUAUUGAGCCACUGAUGAGAUGCUUCUCUUUCCAAAGGGCAUGUGAUCUUUUCCCAGAACCUACCCCUCCUUUUGAAUCACUUUCAACAUUGCCACUGCAAUUGUCUCUGCUACACUUGUAACACUUAUCCUUCUGUUUAUGUUGUGGCAUGCUCUUUUUACGUUUAAAUGAAGAUGUGUGGAGGAGGGUUUGAUUAUAUGAGUUUGUUGUAUUGGAUGUUUGUCUCCUUUGUAAAUGGUUCUUUCUCUCUCUCGUCUGCAUGACUCUCUGUCUCUCUGUCUCUCUCUCUCUCUCUCUCUCUCUCUCUCUCUCUCUCUCUCUCUCUCUCUCUCUCUCUCUCUCUCUCUCUCUCUCUCUCUCUCCUUACAAU
rnacentral:lncRNA from 13 species